CGCCUCCCUCCCUCCCACUUCCCCGCGGUGGUGCUGGCCGCGCGGGCGGGCGCGGGCGGACCAGCCAACACCACAGCGGUUCAGAGAGUUCCAUUGUGCUAAUUAACUGACGGCGAAUUCCAUCACUGCCGUCUUUGGGGAGGAUUCAGUUGUCACUUCCUACAGUGAUAAAACAGGUUGCAUUGCAAUUGUGUUGCUGCCAGACAAAAGAAAAUCUUUUCUCUGUUCUUAUGGCUGGUCGUCCUGAUGAUGCGUAGAUUUGGUGAUUGUUCAGAGUAUUCCAAGAUCGAAAUUGGGGACAUUGACAACAGAAGCGACAAGACAGUAGGUAAGCUCCUAUUCAUAGUAUACUUAUAUAUAUAUUGGUCUUUUUAAUGCUUAUGUCUGAUUUAGUUUCUGAGUACUGGUGUAGUUCAGAUUUAGGUUCAAGCUCCUUUUUUUUGUUCAGAUUUUUUUUAGGGCCAAACAAAUGCAUGUUGCGUAGCUGCAGACCAGG
rnacentral:lncRNA from 1 species